rnacentral:rRNA from 1 species
UUUCCGGUUGAUCCUGCCGCCGGCCACCGCUAUCAAGUUCCGACUAAGCCAUGCGAGUCAAGGUAUCGUAAGAUGCCGGCAAACUGCUCAGUAACACGUGGAUAAUCUAACCUUGAGUAAGGGAUAACCUCGGGAAACUGAGGAUAAUACCUUAUAAUUGCUUAAAACUGGAAUGUUUAAGCAAUAAAAGUUCCGACGCUCAAGGAUGAGUCUGCGACCUAUCAGGUAGUAGGUGGUGUAAUGGACCACCUAGCCUCAGACGGGUACGGGCCCUGGGAGGGGUAGCCCGGAGAUGGACUCUGAGACAUCAGUCCAGGCCCUACGGGGCGCAGCAGGCGCGAACACUGUGCAAUGCGCGAAAGCGCGACACGGGGAGCUUGAGUGUCUUGGCAUAGCCAAGACUUUUCUCAUUCCUAAAAAGCAUGAGGAAUAAGUGCUGGGUAAGGCGGGUGCCAGCCGCCGCGGUAACACCCGCAGCACAAGUGGUGGUCACUUUUAUUGAGCCUAAAGCGUUCGUAGCCGGUUUUGUAAAUCUUUAGAUAAAGCCUGAAGCUUAACUCCAGAAAGUCUGAAGAGACUGCAAGACUUGAGAUCGGGUGAGGUUAAACGUACUUUCAGGGUAGGGGUAAAAUCCUGUAAUCCCGGAAGGACGACCAGUGGCGAAAGCGUUUAACUAGAACGAAUCUGACGGUAAGGAACGAAGGCUAGGGUAGCAAACCGGAUUAGAUACCCGGGUAGUCCUAGUUGUAAACACUGCCCAUUUGAUGUUGCUUUUCCGUUGAGGGAAGGCAGUGUCGGAGCGAAGGUGUUAAAUGGGCCGCUUGGGAAGUAUGGUCGCAAGACUGAAACUUAAAGGAAUUGGCGGGGGAGCACCGCAACGGGAGGAAUGUGCGGUUUAAUUGGAUUCAACGCCGGA